rnacentral:rRNA from 1 species
GUGAGGAAUAUUGGUCAAUGGGCGGAAGCCUGAACCAGCCAAGUCGCGUGAAGGAAGACGGUCCUAUGGAUUGUAAACUUCUUUUGUAGAGGAAUAAUGGCGUCCACGUGUGGAUGAGCGGAAUGUACUCUACGAAUAAGUAUCGGCUAACUCCGUGCCAGCAGCCGCGGUAAUACGGAGGAUACGAGCGUUAUCCGGAUUUAUUGGGUUUAAAGGGUGCGUAGGUGGCGAACUAAGUCAGUGGUGAAAAGCUGCAGCUCAACUGUAGUCUUGCCGUUGAAACUGGUUUGCUCGAGAGGAGACGAGGUAUGCGGAAUGUGUGGUGUAGCGGUGAAAUGCAUAGAUAUCACACAGAACGCCGAUUGCGAAGGCAGCGUACCAGGCUCUAUCUGACACUGAAGCACGAAAGCGUGGGUAUCAAACAGGAUUAGAAACCCUAGUAGUCC